rnacentral:tRNA from 3 species
GCCGGUGUAGCUCAAUGGUUAGAGCAAUCGCAUCAUAAGCGAGAGGUUUGUCGGUUCAAGUCCGACCACCGGCACAA